UCGAGCGCAGAUUCACUGAGC
rnacentral:miRNA from 1 species